UAUUUUAGUCUUGUUAGAGGAACCUGUUUUAUAAUCGAUAAACCACGUAUAUUUCACUUAUUUUAAAUAACUUGUAUACCGUCAUUAUUAGAUAACUUUCAAAAAAUUAGUUAUUAAAAUUAAAUUAAAUUAAAUAUAUUAGAUCAAGGUGCAGUUAAUAAAUAAGAAAAAAUGGGUUACAAUAAAAUUUAUUUAAAACGAAUUAUAUAAAUGUAAAAAUAUAUGAAGGAGGAUUUAAUUGUAAUUUUCUUAUAAAAUAAUAAUAUGAUAAUAGCUCUAAAAUAU
rnacentral:rRNA from 1 species